AGUGAACGCUGGCGGUAGGCCUAACACAUGCAAGUCGAACGGCAGCACAGUAAGAGCUUGCUCUUACGGGUGGCGAGUGGCGGACGGGUGAGGCAUACAUCGGAAUCUACUUUUUCGUGGGGGAUAACGUGGGGAAACUUACGCUAAUACCGCAUACGACCUACGGGUGAAAUCAGGAGAUCUUCGCACCUUGCGCGAUUGAAUUAGCCGAUGUCGCAUUAGCUAGUUGGCGGGGUAAAGGCCCACCAAGGCGACGAUCCGUAGCUGGUCUGAGAGGAUGAUCAGCCACACUGGAACUGAGACACGGUCCAGACUCCUACGGGAGGCAGCAGUGGGGAAUAUUGGACAAUGGGCGCAAGCCUGAUCCAGCAAUACCGCGUGGGUGAAGAAGGCCUUCGGGUUGUAAAGCCCUUUUGUUGGGAAAGAAAAGCAGCAGGUUAAUACCCCGCUGUUCUGACGGUACCCAAAGAAUAAGCACCGGCUAACUUCGUG
rnacentral:rRNA from 1 species